GCCGCUGCCCCUGCGGGAGUCGCCUAGUGGUCAAGACUGCCUCUCCCGGGGACAACCGUUGCCCAGGGAGGGUGUCAAAUGGCGCCUGCCUGCCCCUGGGCUCUACCGGCGUGGAGCUGAAGGGAAAAUGAGGCGGAGAGCAGCUAGAAGAGGCACUAAGGCCUGCGGCGGGAUCCACGCUCGCUGUCUUUCAGGGCAGGGCCUGUCAUGCCUAAGACCAGCUGGUAACUCGUGUUAGCAGCCUGGCGCCGUCGCAGAUAAAGACUCCUCUCGCACUUAAAAACCAAAAAUGGUUUCAAGCGUUUUUAAAGGACCUGUUCAGACUUACCAUUGACAUAAUCUCUGCAUUUACACCUGCAGAUCAAGGAGGAGACAGAGCUGUGGGGGAGGAUCCAGGAAAAAGAAGAUUGGAGCUGCUUUGUUACAAGAAGCUGUUACCAGGAAAUGGCUUCCGUUUUUCUUAAAAUUUACUUAUUGUCCUGACUGUGUACAGGGUCAUGAAGCAGCUGGAGCCUGCAGUCUUUGCAGUGAGUCGAGGACCAGUUGAUCUGAAAUACCAAACAGUAGGAGGUAUCAACCUGUCUUUGGGAGCGGGCAAUUUAGGACAAAGCUUUCUGAAGAGGCAAAAAGAGGAAAAUCAGUUUCAGCACCCAAGGAAUUCAAUUAAGAUAGGUUGCUAUGAGAAGGAAUCAGUGAGGCUGAAGAAAUUUUGCCCUGGAAUAUGAAGCAAAAAGGGCACAGCAGUAGGUCCAGGGUAAAAGAGAUUUUCCUUGCCAAAUUCUUGCUUACCGGACUGUUGAGUGACCAUUUUAGCUGGCACCAGGAAGAGGCCGCUGAAUAUGUUCUGCAGCUUGUAGAGCCACAGAAGGCGAAGGCAUAAAUGAGACGAUACGUGGAGGCUCUAAAAGAGACAGAAAGGGAAUCACAAUCUAAUACACACCACCCAAAUGUACACCAGUGUUUCCCUUUUGCCAGAGAUACAGCAGUGCGUAUACACCACCCUUACUCUGCUCAUGGGUGUGGAUACACAAAGGAAUCAUCUGUUCAGAGUGACUGCCUUUCCUGACAUUGCUAGGAAAUGGUAAGGAGGUGGAGCUGUGUAAACAGGACUAUGAGCCUAUUCAGUACUGUAAUAAAAAGAAGAGCUGUUGAUUUAUAAUAUAUAGAAGCCCAGUUGCUUUAACAAGUACUACAGCACAAGCCCGCAGUCAAGUUUUUUUUCAUGUGAGCAUGAAGUUACUUGUCAUUAGUUAUCAAUGUGUAAUAAGUCCUUGAACACUGCACAAUAAUUGCAGUCAGUUUUUUGCUAUGUUCCUUGUAUUCCUGGCUUUACAAUGGGCUGAAACAGCUAAAAAAUGUCCUAUAUGGGACAGAAGUCACUUUAUAAUCUAGUGAAUGCUAGUUACUAGUUUCUGUUCUUUUUCUUUCUAUUUUCCUUUUCUAAAAAGCCAACAAUAACAAAAAAACAACCUUCCCCCAUCAGCUUUUUAGGGGGGAAAGGAAUAUGAAAUCUUAGCUCAAUCUUGGAAAAGCUAUGACUAGCUGAAAAAGUUCUGAAAGCAAGCAACCAAGCAAAGCAAUGAUAUUUAGAGGCAAACACUGGUGAAUAAAAGGAAUGCUUAAUGUGGUGUACAGCAAAUGCAUGUAACUCACUGCUGACUUCAGUGAGUUAACAGCUCAGAAGCUGGCUGCUGUCUCGCUCGCUCGCGCUCGCUCUCUCUCUCUCCCUAUACUGAUAGUCUCAACUUACAUCUCCUUUGAUAACCGUAGCAGAUGAAUAUGAAGUGCUUUUCUCAAGUAACCAAACUCAAAAACUUUUCAGAUUUGAAAUGAACAAUAACCUGGCAUUGAAUUACACCCAGAGCCGUAGUGCAACCUGAAUCAGCGUUUAAUUCCUAAGUACGUGCUGUUGAAACGGGAGAUCACCAAGUUGCAUAGUCUCAGACAGAUCCAAGUUUAGUAGAACGUACAGUCAUUUGUCAGUUGUAGAUGAAAAAAGUCUGUUCUACAUCUGCAGCUGUAUGAGUGACUGCAAACAGUGAGGACUCAUGAUGGCAACCAGCAGUGAUUUGUUAGAAGAUACUACAAAGAAGCAAUUUCUUCAAAAUAUUUCUCUGCUCCUCUUUCAGCAUUUUUUUUCCGUCAGUCAACUGUUUUCACGCAAACUGCAGCAUCCUAGGAUAUGAUGCCAACUAAAUCUGAUACUUCUGGUAAUGUGGUAAUAUAAUUAAGGGGCACUGCUUUCUCAAGAAGCGUUUCUGAUGGACUCAGCCACACCUUUGCUACACAAUUAAUGCUGACUUCCAGGGAACUGGUGGCAUCACAGCCUUCAAACCUGAGACAGUCGUGCUAAGAGCGUCCUGGUUUAAUCCCGAGAUGAGAUGGUUUCCACGGGGAGUUUUCAACUGUCAGCUCCGUUCUUCAAAGCCUGCUUCUCAGGCCAUAUUGAAAAGAUGCAAACUUGACAUACUGUGCCCCAAGGGAGGAAAUAUGACUCUCUCAGGUCACUCAAGACCUAUUGCUGGCUAGUCACAUCCAUGCGCUGUGCUGAAAUUCACCCCAAGAGACGGUGGCUUGCAACAUGGAGCUGUCACGCAGCGGUCCUUGCCAGGGAGCCGCACCUCCUGCAGGU